rnacentral:rRNA from 1 species
AGCGAACGCUGGCGGCAGGCUUAACACAUGCAAGUCGAGCGGGCACUUCGGUGUCAGCGGCAGACGGGUGAGUAACACGUGGGAACGUACCCUUCGGUUCGGAAUAACGCUGGGAAACUAGCGCUAAUACCGGAUACGCCCUUUUGGGGAAAGGUUUACUGCCGAAGGAUCGGCCCGCGUCUGAUUAGCUAGUUGGUGGGGUAAUGGCCUACCAAGGCGACGAUCAGUAGCUGGUCUGAGAGGAUGAUCAGCCACACUGGGACUGAGACACGGCCCAGACUCCUACGGGAGGCAGCAGUGGGGAAUAUUGGACUAUGGGCGCAAGCCUGAUCCAGCCAUGCCGCGUGAGUGAUUAAGGCCUUAGGGUUGUAAAGCUCUUUUGUCCGGGACGAUAAUGACGGUACCGGAAGAAUAAGCCCCGGCUAACUUCGUG